rnacentral:lncRNA from 1 species
UUUUAUAUUCAUUAAACAUGUUACAUCACGUAUUCCUUUGAAUUUGCAAUUGAAAAGGUAGAAGAAGUAAGGCCCAUCAGAACAAUCUUAACAGUGAAGAAGUGAAAAAUCGAACGACGUUGUUACACAUUUGCAAUCACUAAAGUUUUGUGUCAUCAUGAGUCAAACAAAAACUUCAAACGAAAGCAGUCUAAAAUAUAAAACGCCGUCACUAAACAGAGAACAUUAACAGAACUUUCUAGAUUCCUCUAUACAAACACAAUCCCUAAAAGACGAUCAUCAAGCGCCGCCGUUGUUCAUCAUCAGCUUAAACUCCUCGAAGUUAACGCAACCGUCACCAUCAGUAUCAACUUUGCUAAUCAUCUUCCUGCAAUCCUGAACAGAGCACUUCUCCCCCAGAUUCUUCAUCACCGAGUGAAGCUCCUUCGCCGAGAUCCGCCCGUUCCCGUCCAGAUCGUACAGCUCAAACGCUUCCUUCAGAUCGUUCUUGCUGUUUCCUCCUCCUCCGCCUUGGUUCACUCCGAUCUGGAAAAGAGAGACGAACUCGUCCAUGUCGAUGAAUCCGUUCCCGUCGAGAUCGAACUGUUUCAUCAUCUUCACCGUCUCCUCCGGCGACGCGGUGGGGCUGAGCGCGCGGAUCACUUCCUUGAGCUCGUCGACGGAGAUUUUCCCGUCGCCGUUUUUGUCGAAGCGCUGGAAGACUCGGCGGAUGUCGUCCAUCGAGCCUAGACAGCUGCGAGCUCCGUUGCUCUUCGACAUUUGCAACAGAUUGAUUGAGUAACGAAAGCGUGUGUGUGUGUGUGGGUGUGGUGGAGAAGAAGACGAUGGAGAUGGUUUGUUAUGAUUUAAGGAAUCUAUAAAUAAAGGGAGAUGAGGGAGUGACGUAAUAACGCGUUUUUAAAAACGCGUUAAGAUUGCGUGAGCUGGGGAGUGAAGCAACUAGCCAAAGCAUAUUUUUCCUUAACUAAACGCAUUAAUUAUUCUUCUUUUGUUAGACGAGAAAAAGACCAAAAUAGCACUAAAUCAAGUUUUUGUUUACAAACUAGCACUUAAGGUCAAAAGUUACAAAAAUAGCACUCAAGGGAUGGGGUUUAGGGUUUAGAGUUUAGAGUUGAGAAGUGAGGUUUUGGGGAUAAGAUUUUAAAUUUUGAAAAAUAAAAAAAUUUAAAUUUUUCAAAAGAUAAAAUGCUAUUUUGGUCAUUUUAGUUUUUGAGUGCUAUUUUUGUGAUAUAAACUUAGAAAUGUGCUAUUUUGGAGAUUUGCCCUUGUUAUAUAAAGUAGAAGCGUAUAUCAUAGUAUUAUUCACUUCUACUAAGAAAGAAACAUAAACCAACGUGUUCUUGCGGAUCAAUCUUUGAGUUCUUGUUUUUUCUUUAGUUUCGGAUUUUUUGUAACUGAUUAUUAAUUACGGACAAGUUGUAUACAGUUAUUAAGUAAUGUAAUAUAUUCAGAAAAUCAUAUCUAUUUGUCUCUUCGCUAAGGCGAAAAACCGUAUUGGCUUUUACACAUACAAAAUAACCAAAAGAAAGAAAUAUAUGUGAAUAUGUAACAUAAGACUUGUGAUUUCACUUGCUUUAUCUCUAAGAGAUAUGUUUCGGUGGUAUGUGAUGUGAAGGCUUUUUCUGGAUCUCUUUUGAAUCGUAGAGAACGAUUUCAAUACGAGAACGUAUAUUAUUUGUGUUCGAGUCUACACAACAAUAUUUUUUGACGAUUACUAAAAAAAACUUCAAACAUGUUCGGAAACAACCAUUUUCUAUUAGAGCGAAAAUGUAAUUGUAAAACGCUAGCACAACAAAAAGUAAUCCCCACAAUAAUAGUUAGACAGGGUUGGGUUGAUAUCACAAGAGUGUUUAUCUGUUUCGUUACCUUUAGCCUUAGAUUUGGUGAAGCCAUCAGAAUUAACUCGUGACUCAUACACUAGUUUCAGUUGAACAAAUCGUAUCUAGACCAUUUGUUUAAUACAUGCAUGGACCUCUUUCAUAAUGUCACAGAUAAACCAUUACUUUAUUCGAUUACUUUUAAAUUGUUAAAUUUAACAAACCAAAAGACAGAAACUAGAGGGCAACGAGCUCGUCACGAGGGUCGAUUUACUUUAAAGAGAAUAAACUAUUGCAUAAACACUAUAUUAUACUACUAAUUUAUAUUGUUGAAAGAAGGAUAAAGAGCACCAUAGAAAUGUGGUUGGACGGUUCUCUUUCUUCGAUACACUUUUGUGUGAUUUGAAUAUGUAUUAAUAUGUCCAGAUUAUUGGUGUUAGUAGAUAAUCUAAUUAAUGGUCCCAAGCCGGGUAUGUAAUACACGUGGGUUUGGUAUAUGGUGCAUGCAUGUGUACACGUAUUCUCUAUAGGGUUCAGAUCGAAGAUGCAUAGUCGGAUAGUCCCAUUACUGCUCCUCAGAGCCGUGGUCCUUGCGUUGGUUUGGUUAUCAUUAGUCCUGUUCGUUUGGUUGCCGCAGGUUUCGGCGUCAGCGACAGCGUUAAUGAGGACAGUUGUUGUUCGUUUCGCAGACGCUGACGCUGCCGCAUACUAUAUCGCGACCGCAAGUUUUAUCGGCGUCAGCCGCAGGACGCGGCGUUCGGACGCGGCGUCAGAUGCAGCUUCCUGCGUCAACGAAACGAACAAAAAUUGACGCAGAAUGUUGACGCUGCCGCUGCCGCCGGUACCUGCGGCAACCAAACGAACAGCCUUUAUUACUAAACAAAAGAACAUCCCAAACGUUACACAAAUUGAACACAAACAACAUCCUCAAACACAUAAGAGUCACAGAACCGAAACACAAUUAACAUCUGGAGUUUUUACUAUCAAACCAGCUUGAAAUAUGCUUGCAAAUGUUUUUUUUUUCAAUCUCAAUUGUAUUAUUGACCUUAGUUGUACUAAUUGUAUCAGUUUUGUACUUGUUCCAAUUCUAUUAAUUGUUUCAGUUGCUGUUAUCUCAGUUGUCUCAAACAAUUAUAUCAAUUUUUAAGAAAGAGAAAUGAACUCUUUUUUUCGAAAUUGGAUCCUACUAAAUUUGAAUGUUCUCGUUAUUCAAAAAUUAUUCAUUUAAAUCAUUGUAUAACCGGGCAAAGGAUAUAAUUGUCUCUUCAUAAUUUCAUUUAGAAUUGUGGAGGUUAAUUGAGAUUUUCUUUACCACCUAUUUUGAUCCAAAAAAAUAAGAUACCUAAAAGAACAUAGAUUGGUCUUGAAAGAUAAGAUACACACAUUUUAACAACAAACGGUUCUUUUUCUUCUUAAAAGCUAAACAAUUCCAAUUUCCAAGGUAACUUGACAAUCAAUCGAUGGAACUUUUUCCAUUUCUCACCUUUCCGAACUAAUACUUCUCUUGACGUUCUUUGACAUCCUUAAGCUUCUCUAUCUUCGCAUUCUCGUUGUUAGACUUUAAGCUGGAUACUUUUUGAGCACUGUCCAUUUGAUGUGACUUCAGCUUCAUACCGAAUCCGAGUUUCUUAGAAACGUUUUCCCACGUUUUGCUGCCGCUUCCAAAAGCACCACCACCCUUUGUUGUCAUAUCGAGUUUCUCUAUCUCCUGUCUCAUUUUUGAACAUUCUUUCUCUAACUCACAAACCCGCAUUCUCAUUUUGUCCAUUCCAACUUUCAGGUCUUGAUUCUCUCGUACUGCGGUUUCCCAUCCUCCUUUGGUUGAUUCUCCGGAAAAUCCGUCGCUUCCUAACUUUCUUGACCGGCCAACGAGGCUGCCUAAAACCGGGAGGCAUUCAGAAACAGAGGCCUUGAGCUGAAGCUGCUCAAUGAAGAGCACUUGGACUAUUAUUCUUAGAGGCAACCUCUCGUUCUGUGCUGCGUGUGUGCAAGCUUCCGUAGAGAGCUUUUGGCAGUCUAACAACCUACAAAGAUCCUCUCUUUCUGUUUCCGCUAACCACGGAUGAUGCUACAAAUCAUCAAAAGAUGAAAAACAAUUAAUAUGCCUCUGUUAAAAAAAUAAAAUAGCCACCUUAGCAAAAUUGGAACAAUACAGAGAAGAUUACCCAUGUGGAAUGAUGACAAGCUCUAAUCGAGAUUUGGUCCAAAAAUUUUCAUUUAAAAAAUAAAUCAAUAUUGUUUAGUCCUACCUUUAGGUAGAUGUCUAUUGCACGAUAGAGCCCGUCAUCUAAGAGUCUGGCGUAUUCAGGAACAGAAGCGGCUAAAGCUUGGAACUUUGCAAGCUUGAGAUUGACAUCAGGAGCAACUUCAGCAAGAUACCCAUCUAUCAGCUUCGCAACCGCUGCCAUUGACUGUGGGGAUCCGUUUAAAUUCCCGUCUUCUACUGAAGAACACGAGGAGCUAGCCCCUACGGGCAUAGUAUGAACCCUACUAAGAAAGUGGUCCAGGAUCCUUUGCACAGAGUCAACGUCAUAUAGAGUGUCCAUAGUAUGAGAAAAGCUAGGCAUUACAAGAUCUUCCAACGUCGCCUUGUCAAGCUGCAUCCCUAUCCUCUUCUCUAAAUUCUCUAUGCAACUCGGACUAGCUUUCAGAAUCUUGGCGAUUAUAAGCAUGUCUACGAAAAACUUGGUCGGAAGUAAACCUUUUUGCAUACAGGGAAGAUCAAGCUCCUGGAUCUCUUCAAGCAAGUGUUUCUGCUCUUCUUCAGACAAUAAUACACUACUCCCCGAGCUCAAAGGUGUGAUGGAAGAACUACCACUGUGACGUCGUUUUAAGACAGGCAAGUAUUUUCUGGUGUAAUAGGUUAGGGAACCGGCGACGAUUUCUUCUCUUAUUCCUCGGGAAUCCAUGAGUGUGAUAAGUCUCUUAAAAAGAGCAAAACUAAGCAUGGACGCGUCCUCGUACCACCAAUCUGAACUAGUGUCUUCACGUCUAGCCCCUGUGCUUAUCCCGUUCCAUAAAACGCUUCCACCUGGACUUUGCAUGGGCCCACCACCAUGCUUCACGAACGAGUUUGGAUCUGCCAAUGCUCUCAUGGCUAAUGAUUCAAUGCAUUUCUUGGUAAUGUUGAAUUCAUCAGCGUACUUGAGGACCUCAUCGCAGCAUUGAAGCGCUUUUAUAGAAUAUUUCCAGCUUUUGAAAACGACUUGGUUGAAAAACUUUCCGGUUUGGGAAAUUAGGUUUCCUUCCCCAUACUCUUCUGUCAUUUCGAGAUGCUUAGCAGCGCAUCUGAGGUAUACAACGUUGGAGGCAGUGAGUUCGAGCUUCACACCGUAGCAGAACUUGGCUACUAGCUCAAACGUUUUGUCUCCGCCAGGAAAAUCAGAAAUCUGAAUGAGACAUUUGUCAUCCCCUUCUUUAGACGCCUCUGCAAUCCUUCUUUCCAUGACUCCACUUCUAGAGAGCAAGGGAAACUACACAAUAACAAAAACUAUAAAAAAUGUAAGUAACAACAUCAUUCUUUCUCAAAGAGGACGCUUUAAUAAUGUAAGAUAUUAGAUAUAGGUCUGAGAAAAUAUAGCGAUUUACUCAUCAACUUCUUAUAGUCAAGAUAUUAGUGGUUUAGGUGUUAGAGCAUCUCCAAUGGGGUUCUACCCAUUGGAGUUCUAUAAAUAUGAAUAUGUGUAUAUGUAUAUAUUGUAUAUGUGUAUGUAGUUGUAGAGUCUAUUAAAUAGUGUAGAACCCCUACUCAAAGGUUUUAAAAUUUUUGUUUUUAGAAAAGGUGUUAUGCUCUCUACACCAUCAAAUUAUUCUCUCGGUUUCCAAAAAAAAAAAAAAAGUGUUAAACGAGCAUGAUAAGAAGAGACUUGGUGCCUUAGAAAAAUUAUGUAUGUGAAAAGAUUCUAAAAUACUUGCAAAUCAAACCCUAAAAAGCCAUAAAAGUAAUAUAUCACUGUACUUCAACAAGAGAGAGUUGUUUUGGUCGAGUCAAAUUUACCUUGUGGAGAUGGAAAGACACCUCUCCAACUUCAAUGAUGAUAUCACUUGGAAGUCCAGUUGUGCAAAACCUGCAAUAAUUGGAAAAAAAACCGAAGAAAACAAAAGUAGACAUCAGUCCAAGUCUGAGCCAUUAGAAGGAGAAAAUCAAGAAGACGCAAAAACUCAGGAACAAGAUACACUAUAAAGUGAAUAUACCAAUCCUGGCCUUGUCUUUUGAAUGAAUCUGAUUUUGAUCCCAGCUUCAUGCAUGCCAUACUUCCUGUCAACAUAAUUCAAUAAAGAUAUUCCAUAGCUAUCCAAAACCGUAAAACAAAUCACUCCACAAAAAUCAAAACCCUAAUUAAGUUUGUGAGAAAUAUUGGCUAAUAUAUAAGAGCACUAGAGUAUAAUGCAGGCAUGGUAGGAAUAACAAUUUUCAAGAAUCAGCCAUGAACAAGAAGAGUGAAGAAAUGCAAUGCAAGACAGAAAUUAUCAAAACCCGUGAUAGAAAUUAGAGAUUAUUUGAUAGAAUACCCAUGUGCAAAUUUAAAAUUACCCUCAAGUCUUUUAUAAGUUUGAAAUAUAGCUUACAUUUUAUUUUAAUGACAUUUACAUUCUCAACUAUAAAACAAUGGAGCGUAUAAUUGAUCCAAAACCAAACGUAAUCUAAGAUGAAAAUAACAAUAAAAAUAAAAUGUUUAGAUUUUACAUCAGCUUGGCCGUUAAGUGUUUAUAUUAAAUGUUUAGAUUUUUAAACCAAAAUUUUCUGAAUUCAAUGUUUAGAUUCUUAACCAAAUGUAUGUUUUUCAUCUUUUCUGCACAAAACAUAUUUAAAUUCAGUCUUUACGAAACUCAACGAUCACCAAUCUAAACUUUUCGAUAGGAAGAUAUCAUGUAGAUUCUAUCGAGGAUUGAAUCCUCCAAUUAAAGAAGCCCAAAACAAGUAACAACGAAAUGAUCCAGUGUUUGGUCUUAACAACCAAACUAAAUCAAUAAAGGUUGUCAAUGACAACAAGCUAUAUGAUAAGUCAGAGAGCUUCUUAAUCUUGAUUACAUAUAUAGAUCUAAGAGCAACAUUCAAGUCACCAAAUCAAUGUAAAAAGAAACAGAUCAACGGAGAAAAACGAAAUAAUAAGAUAACACAAGUCACCUCUUUCUUUCUGAAUCAGCAAUGUCAGCGUGCUCACAACGUUUUUUUGGAAGAGAAGAGGUGCAUUUAUAGUGGUUAAUCAAUAAAAAAUAGUCAAACAAAAAAAAGGAGGGCAAGAUUUGUAACUCAUUUACAUUUUUAAACCAUAAUUAAAUAACUAGUACCAAUCCAUUUUACAACAGCUCGUUCUCUGUGUUCUUUCUCACAACUCGGUAAGACAACAUUUGGAUCCUGUAUCGAUAUCAUGUAAAGAAAACUGGCAGUCUCCCAAUCUCGGAGACGAAUAAGGUAAGUAUACCCAAGGCAGGUUAAUGCCACCCAUAAUAGUAUUAGAAUUAAUAAUAACAAAUUCAUAAAAUCAUUAAAACUUUGUGGUAUGAGAUGGCAAAAAUCAAGCUGUGCACCCCUUAUAAUUCAUGUUCCAUGCCUACUAAUACCUUAUAUAUAUUUUUUAUUUUUUUUUGCAAUAGUGCACCUAAUAAAGAAACUAGAGAGUUAGUUGAGUAAAACAUAAUUAGGCCAUUUUUUAGAAGUCCCUGCAUCAGCAGCUAGCGAUAAAAAACUGAAUAUCAAAAUAAACAAAAAGAUGGUGGAAAAUUAAUUAAGCUGUUGCUGCGAUUACUUUUGCAAAGGUUUCUGGUGUCUUCUGUGACACUGUAAGAAGUUGCGGCGGUUAGAAUGGUCGCUGCCAUUAUUUUUGAUAGGCAAAAACAACGCUGCCGCUGCUACUCUCCAAAUGCAUGAACAAGAAAACAGUUAUAUUCAAUGACGAACGUUGAUCAGUCUUUCCAUUUGAAACGCAAUAAAGCUUCUCUCAUAUAGAGCAGAGACUCGUCAUACCUUCUCGAUUUCAGAUUACUGCGUCUCUCACAUCACUUAUAAAUCUACUUUGAUUAAUGAUCAUUUAUGUUGUUUUAUAUUCAUUAAACAUGUUACAUCACGUAUUCCUUUGAAUUUGCAAUUGAAAAGGUAGAAGAAGUAAGGCCCAUCAGAACAAUCUUAACAGUGAAGAAGUGAAAAAUCGAACGACGUUGUUACACAUUUGCAAUCACUAAAGUUUUGUGUCAUCAUGAGUCAAACAAAAACUUCAAACGAAAGCAGUCUAAAAUAUAAAACG